UAAAAACUAGUGUUCGAAUUUUGUCCCAAACAUUUUUGAACAGUCCUCUGUCACAAUUUGAAUAUCGCGCCACAAAAAUAUUAAACACUAUUGUGGUUACAUUUCGCGUGAAACAGAACGUUAACAGUGUGAAGUUUGCUCGGUCGUCAUGCUAAAGAAGUCGCCGCCAUUUUGCGCAGUGACAACUCCGCGUUUGUGUGAGAGCCACGUCUCUGCAAUGUUGAGUAAACAUUCCUCUGUAUUGCCGCAAUGCCCCCAAAGAAGAAACC